AGGGACAACGUCGUGUCUGGGAAUGAGAAGAAAAUAAUUUUGUUUCAUUUGAAUUCGCUCCAGUCUGCCUCCAGUCAAGAUGACCGUUAGUUUCUAAAUUCGACUCAUGUCUACGUCACCCCCUUGAUGACCAAGCGUGAAGUGCUACAUCAGACAUGUGGCUACAAACUCUCUGUCACACUAUGUAGCAACCACUUGACUGAGUCUUGACCAACUAUGUCACCAGUAACAUGACGCCUCUGAGUGCUGGGAAGCGCUUCAAAUCUCGUUUGAUUGUCAGCAGAUGUUGGUCUAAAAGCCGGAAAGCCUCCAGACUUGGUAAUGGAUGGUUUCGAAACGUCGCAACAAAAAAUAAUAUACUUUAGUCCAAACCAAAUAUUUGUUUAGACAUUUGUAUCAAGUUUGUUACAUUGUUACAGCAAGUGUAAUAAAUCAGAACAUUAGAUCUAUCAAA
rnacentral:sRNA from 1 species